ensembl:lncRNA
GUGCUCAACAGGAAAUCUGGUGUCUUAUUUUCAGUCGAGCUGAAAGCCAUGAAACUCAUUCUGCGGUGGAUUUUUUGCUUCAGUUUAGGUACAUACCUACUUUAUGAAGGAUUUCGCAUCUCAAAACAUAGUCAAAAGAUUCCCCUCACAGGUUCUUUUUAAACUUUAUUAUUGAAGGAAUGGUUCCUAACAAAACACCCUUGUGUUGUUCCAAACACAUGACUUUCUUUCAUCCGUAGAACACAAAAGAAGAUAUUUGUAAGAAUUUGCAGCCUGAUUUUAGUGACAGCUUUUAUACCUUUUUUUUCUCAGAGCGUAGCCUGCAUAGUGCAAAAAGAAGUCCAUACAGCAAGUCUUUUUAAGUUGUACGGUAGAUUUGUAUGAGAUAUAGAUCCACAAAUAAGAAUACUUUUCAUUUUACUGUAUUGCUUUCCAUCAAGCAAUUUUUUUAUACUUCUUGCUUGCUUUGUAUAUUAUUUUAUUUAUUUUUCUUAUAAAUUCUAUCAUUCCAAAGGUUUGGGGUCAGAAAGAGUUUUUUUUUUUUUAAGAAAUUAAUAUUCAGCAUGAUGCAUUAAUUUGAUCGAAAGUGAUCAACGUUUUUUUUAAUUUCUAUUCAUCAAAAAAUCCUGAAAUAAUCUAUCACAGAUUUCACAAAAGUAUGAAGCAGCACAACUGUUUUCAACAUUGAGAAUAGCAGAAAUGUUUCUUGAGCAACAUCUUACAGACCCCGAACUUUUGAACUGAGAUGUAUACAGGCUAUAGGCGAAUUAAUGCAAAGUCUCAACAAACUAGAAUUUUUAUUUCGGUCAGUUUUAGGGAGUUUUAAGUCUUCAGUUUCUCUCCAUGGUUUCACUACGAUUGUCGUAAGAUAUACUGAUCUUCAAUAUAUUGAACUGGUAUGUAUGACCAUUGUAGGCCAUUGUACAUUUUUAUUCAUGCAGGUUUUGUCACUGAUUGCCAAGUGAAUCGUUAUGGAUUGAAAGGAAGCUCAAUCCGUCUGAGCAUCAGUCCCAGAAAUCAGUCACUAACUAAUGUUGGAUGGCAACGAUUCAACAGGAAAGAGGUGCUUACAGACGCAAAAGAAGUUUCCCCUCAUUUUAAGAAAAGAAUGAUCCUAAACGUCUCAGACUGGUCUUUGACCAUACACAACCUUGAGGAAAAUGACAGUGGACUGUAUGAAGCCAUUAAGAAGUGGGAGGUUGAACCUCUGGCUGCAUUCACACUUACAGUGGAGAACACUGUCUCUAAGCCUGUAAUCAGAGUGGAUCAACAUGACUUUAAUUCGUCUGCUGAAGUGUGUCGGGCUGCAGUGAACUGUUCAGCUGAUGGCAGCUGGGCCACGUUUGACUGCCACCAAAAUGUCUGUACAAAGAUACAAUCCUCUCCAUUCUCCAUUAACAUCACUGUCACUGCACUGGACAGCAGUGGCAUCAAAUGCAACGUCAACAACAACGUGAGCAUGAAUCAUUCUCAGACUCCCUUUACGUGCCAUGAAAAGCAGAAAAGUGAUUAUCGUUUUCUCCCAUCGCUCAUCUUCUGGAUCGUUGGCACCGUUUGUGGUGGUGUUUUGUUGGGUUUGGUUAUGGGUGGGAUUGUAGCAUUUGUCAAGAGAAGAAAAUGUUCAAAAGUUCAUCCACAGUCCAGUCGUGUUGUGAUUGAACAGCAUCAUGAAACAAUUUACUGCACCGUGGAAAAGCCGGCCACAUCCCAGACACAUCCAGGAAACAACACUGUCAGCAACAAAGUAGAAACCAUCUACGACACUCCAUCACGACAUACCAAGGCUUGUCAAGUAGACAGUGUGGAGGUGAUGAGAGACAAUCAGGAGCAACAGCAAUCUGGACAAGACAGAACUAUUCAAGUAAAAGCUACAGUUCACCAGGCAGCAGAACCCGAUUCAGAUCCAAUAAACACUGUUUACUGUAAACUGGGAGAGAUAUGACACAAACACAUACUGAGACGUCACUUCAGUGGAGAUUUAAAU